rnacentral:rRNA from 1 species
UACGUAGGGGGCAAGCGUUGUCCGGAAUCAUUGGGCGUAAAGCGCGUGUAGGCGGCUCGGUAAGUCUGCUGUGAAAGUCCAGGGCUCAACCCUUGAAUGCCGGUGGAAACUGUCGGGCUAGAGUCCGGAAGAGGCGAGUGGAAUUCCUGGUGUAGCGGUGAAAUGCGCAGAUAUCAGGAGGAACACCAAUGGCGAAGGCAGCUCGCUGGGACGGUACUGACGCUGAGACGCGAAAGCGUGGGGAGCGAACAGG